AGCAGCCAUCACUGAGGCCAGC
rnacentral:piRNA from 1 species